ACUCCUACGGGAGGCAGCAGUGGGGAAUAUUGGGCAAUGGAGGAAACUCUGACCCAGCGACGCCGCGUGCGGGAUGAAGGCCUUCGGGUUGUAAACCGCUUUCAGCAGGGAAGAAGCGAAAGUGACGGUACCUGCAGAAGAAGCACCGGCUAACUAUGUG
rnacentral:rRNA from 1 species